rnacentral:hammerhead_ribozyme from 1 species
GUACUGCUGAAGAGUCCAAAACUAGGACGAAACAGCUAUCCUGUAC